rnacentral:rRNA from 1 species
CCUACGGGGGGCUGCAGUGGGGAAUAUUGGACAAUGGGGGGAACCCUGAUCCAGCCAUGCCGCGUGUGUGAAGAAGGCCCUCGGGUUGUAAAGCACUUUCAGUGAGGAAGAACGCCUGGUGGUUAAUACCCAUCAGGAAAGACAUCACUCACAGAAGAAGCACCGGCUAACUCCGUGCCAGCAGUCGCGGUAAUACGGAGGGUGCGAGCGUUAAUCGGAAUUACUGGGUGUAAAGCGCGCGUAGGUGGCUUGAUAAGCCGGUUGUGAAAGCCCCGGGCUCAACCUGGGAACGGCAUCCGGAACUGUCAAGCUAGAGUGCAGGAGAGGAAGGUAGAAUUCCCGGUGUAGCGGUGAAAUGCGUAGAGAUCGGGAGGAAUACCAGUGGCGAAGGCGGCCUUCUGGACUGACACUGACACUGAGGUGCGAAAGCGUGGGUAGCAAACAGGAUUAGAUACCCGUGUAGUC